ensembl:lncRNA
GUUUAUUCUCUUGUAACUCGUUAUUGCAUUUCCAACUAUGGUUUUCGUUCAUAGCAUCCCUUCCUUUCUGUUUAGAAUAGAACUUUUAAAUGUCUCUGUUAGGUUCAAUAUUGCUGAGUUAUCUCACCUCCCCUCCCCUUCCCCCCCAGGCCUCUGAAUCCUCAGUCCAGGGAAGCUAAACCAUUCUAGCCUUCAUCGGUUCUGGGAAAGCAAUCUUCAGAGUGGGAAAAGACAUUGAAAAAUAAUAUUCUGGUUCACUUGGUGAUAAUAAUCAUAACCAAAGCAACAGCAAACCCUUACAGAACUCUGUCCUGCUGUUCCAGGAACGCUGUGUUCAUGACAACCCAAUGAGUUGGCACCACUAUGAGUUCCACUUUAAAGUGCCUGCCACCCUGGCCUCCCUGCUCAUCUGCCUCAGUCAGGAGCACCUGGACCACCAGCUCUGUAUUGCCUCGCCUCCUACCAUCAAGACGUCAAAGUUCAUUCUCCUUCCACCACCCAGUAUGGUCAUUGUAGGGUUCUUCUGUCAGCCUGAGCCAGCCCCACCCAUUCACCCUACCCCCGGGCUAUACCGGGCGUGUCUCCCCCAAGUCCAGCCUCUCUCCUUUAAGUGCCCACCACUUAGCCGUCCAGUCUUCUCCACCAGCCUCCCUGGCCCUCCUUCACCCUCACUGGGGAUCAUGCGACUGCUCUGCUUCCUGCCUGUCCACGUUCCUCUUACUUCCACUUCCCCACCUUCCAGCUCUGCAUCCACAGUCAGCACUCUCUUUAUGACAGACAAAACCCCCUUGAGCCUUGACCUUUUCAGUUCCUCACCAGGCCGACUUCCAUCUCGGUUCACCCAGCUCUACUUGUUCUGAGCCUGCAGGCAGCAGGCUCUCCCAGCACAGUCCAAGACUACAAAUCAAUGCCCACCAUGUUGCCGCUGCCAGGCAAUCCUCCAGGAUUCUCUAGUGAGCACAUUUCCCCACUUAUCACUCAGUGGGUGUAACAUUCUCUGCUCUCUGCACACCUCUAACCUUCCCUCUGUCUCUUCCCUGUCCCAGCAGAUGGCCUUGCCUCCUGCUCAGAGAGAAUGACAUGUCACUGGAAAGGAACUCGCUCACCUGCAGCAAACCCUGCACCUCACUUUUAUCUGUCCUCUCCC